rnacentral:rRNA from 1 species
GACGAACCGUGCGAACGUUGUUCGGAUUCACUGGGCUUAAAGGGCGCGUAGGCGGGCGGUCAAGUCGGGGGUGAAAUCUUUCAGCUUAACUGGAAAAGUGCCUCCGAUACUGAUCGCCUCGAGGGAGGUAGGGGCAUGUGGAACUUCCGGUGGAGCGGUGAAUGCGUAGAUAUCGGAAGGAACGCCGGUGGCGAAAGCGACGUGCUGGACCUCUUCUGACGCUGAGGCGCGAAAGCUAGGGGAGCAAACGGG